rnacentral:lncRNA from 1 species
AUUGCCAUGCCUCUGCCGAUGAACUCCGGGAGACAGUCUGUGACCUGGGCGAUCAUGGGGAUGUCGUGAACCUCAUCAUAGUCAGCGAUCCUGAGAGGAUGUAGAGUUGUGAAAUGGAAAAGACAUCAGUUAUGGGUCCAUGUAGGCACCUCAUACCAGGAGAAGAUGAGCUUCCCAGAGUGGUGACUUCACAUGUCUCUGUAAUUAUGCUCAGCAGGCUCAAUAACCACUGGAAAACAAAG